rnacentral:rRNA from 1 species
AGUCGUAACAAGGUCUCCGUAGGUGGACCUGCGGAGGGAUCAUUACACAAAUAUGAAGGCGGGCUGGAACCUCUCGGGGUUACAGCCUUGCUGAAUUAUUCACCCUUGUCUUUUGCGUACUUCUUGUUUCCUUGGUGGGUUCGCCCACCACUAGGACAAACAUAAACCUUUUGUAAUUGCAAUCAGCGUCAGUAACAAAUUAAUAAUUACAACUUUCAACAACGGAUCUCUUGGUUCUGGCAUCGAUGAAGAACGCAGCGAAAUGCGAUAAGUAGUGUGAAUUGCAGAAUUCAGUGAAUCAUCGAAUCUUUGAACGCACAUUGCGCCCUUUGGUAUUCCAAAGGGCAUGCCUGUUCGAGCGUCAUUUGUACCCUCAAGCUUUGCUUGGUGUUGGGCGUCUUGUCUCUAGCUUUGCUGGAGACUCGCCUUAAAGUGAUUGGCAGCCGGCCUACUGGUUUCGGAGCGCAGCACAAGUCGCACUCUCUAUCAGCAAAGGUCUAGCAUCCAUUAAGCCUUUUUUUCAACUUUUGACCUCGGAUCAGGUAGGGAUACCCGCUGAACUUAAGCAUAUCA